CAUGUUUUAAACUACUGAGUUUUUUUUUUUAUUGCAAAACAUUUGUUACAGAAAUUUCAGAAAGUUUUUCCCGUGGUAUCUGCCAACUUCUGCUCUGAAUUGUAUAUCUAAACAAUCAAACUCAAAGUGCAUUGUGAAUCCAAUAAUAGACCUUUAAAAAAGAACAAUUCUUCUAAGGAUUUAUAUAUAUUUAUAGUGUCGAUAGAUAUGCAUACCGUGGUCCAUCCAUACACAAAGAAGGAAAAGAUGUAUAUAUAUUCAGCAAACCCAAUUUUAAAACCAUUGUAUUUGUAGGAAUUCAUUUAAAAAUGAUAUCUGAAUAAUUUCCCCCAUUAUAAACUAGGGUUAGAACGUUUACAAAUGAGAGUCUAGGUCCUAUAUUAUGAAAUGGCUAUGAGUACAGUAUACUGCACGUACUGUUUUUACACAGCGGUAGCAGCAAUAUAAACUCAGGUCAGACGCAGUAGUGACAGGAAGCAGGUAAGUCUUCAUACCAUGCUAUGGUACUCUUCUUCUGAAUCUCUCUCACAAAGACUCUGUGUUCAAGUUUAGAAUUUGUUUCAGCUUACUGUGCGAGGGUCAACAAGGUAUAAAGGUAAUGUGGGCAAGGGUCUGUUGGUCUGGUGAAAAAGCAGCUAGUCUUAGACUAAGAGAAGAGAAGCAAGAAGAGGGGAGAAAGAAAGCCGCACAUCCAGGCACAAGGCUGAAUUUCCCCCUUUGCCCCAUAGGCCUCAGCCACCUGUCUCCUCCAGAGGAAGGCAUGGGUCCUGAUUGGCACUGACACUCUUUACAAAGCCUAUGGACUUCUAGCCAUACACAUGUCUUUUCAGUUUCCAGCACACAAACAUUGUGCAAACGCACAAGGGCCUGCAGGUUUAAGGAGGCUGGUAGACUAGGUAAGGUAAGGAAGGGAAAAUUCACCUCAUUCUUAUUGCCAUCUGGAUU
rnacentral:lncRNA from 1 species